rnacentral:rRNA from 1 species
GUGAGGAAUAUUGGUCAAUGGGCGGGAGCCUGAACCAGCCAAGUCGCGUGAAGGAAGAAGGAUCUAUGGUUCGUAAACUUCUUUUGCAGGGGAAUAAAGUGCAGGACGUGUCCUGUUUUGUAUGUACCCUGAGAAUAAGGAUCGGCUAACUCCGUGCCAGCAGCCGCGGUAAUACGGAGGAUCCGAGCGUUAUCCGGAUUUAUUGGGUUUAAAGGGUGCGUAGGUGGGUUGAUAAGUCAGCGGUGAAAGUUUGCAGCUUAACUGUAAAAAUGCCGUUGAAACUGUCGGACUUGAGUGUAAAUGAGGUAGGCGGAAUGCGUGGUGUAGCGGUGAAAUGCAUAGAUAUCACGCAGAACUCCGAUUGCGAAGGCAGCUUACUAAGCUACAACUGACACUGAAGCACGAAAGCGUGGGGAUCAAACAGGAUUAGAAACCCCAGUAGUCC